UACGUAGGGGGCAAGCGUUGUCCGGAUUUAUUGGGCGUAAAGAGCGUGUAGGCGGCCAUGUAGGUCCGUUGUGAAAACUCGAGGCUCAACCUCGAGACGCCGAUGGAAACCAUGUGGCUAGAGUCCGGAAGAGGAGAGUGGAAUUCCUGGUGUAGCGGUGAAAUGCGUAGAUAUCUGGAGGAACACCGGUGGCGAAGGCGACAUCCUGGACCGGUAUUGACGCUGAGGCGCGAAAGCCAGGGGAGCAAACGGG
rnacentral:rRNA from 1 species